UGCGUAGGCGGUCUGGUGCGUCCGCGCUGAAAUCGCCCGGCUUAACCGGGCGCGGCGUGCGGAUACGACCAGGCUUGAGGCUCGGAGAGGGUGGUGGAACUCCUGGUGUAGUGGUGAAAUGCGUAGAGAUCAGGAAGAACACCCGUGGCGCAAGCGACCACCUGGCCGAGACCUGACGCUGAGGCACGAAAGCGUGGGGAGUGAACC
rnacentral:rRNA from 1 species